rnacentral:rRNA from 1 species
CCGACCUUGAAAUACCACCCUUUAAUGUUUGAUGUUCUAACGUGGACCCGUGAUCCGGGUUGCGGACAGUGUCUGGUGGGUAGUUUGACUGGGGCGGUCUCCUCCUAAAGAGUAACGGAGGAGCACGAAGGUUGGCUAAUCCUGGUCGGACAUCAGGAGGUUAGUGCAAUGGCAUAAGCCAGCUUGACUGCGAGCGUGACGGCGCGAGCAGGUGCGAAAGCAGGUCAUAGUGAUCCGGUGGUUCUGAAUGGAAGGGCCAUCGCUCAACGGAUAAAAGGUACUCCGGGGAUAACAGGCUGAUACCGCCCAAGAGUUCAUAUCGACGGCGGUGUUUGGCACCUCGAUGUCGGCUCAUCACAUCCUGGGGCUGAAGUAGGUCCCAAGGGUAUGGCUGUUCGCCAUUUAAAGUGGUACGCGAGCUGGGUUUAGAACGUCGUGAGACAGUUCGGUCCCUAUCUGCCGUGGGCGCUGGAGAACUGAGGGGGGCUGCUCCUAGUACGAGAGGACCGGAGUGGACGCAUCACUGGUGUUCGGGUUGUCAUGCCAAUGGCACUGCCCGGUAGCUAAAUGCGGAAGAGAUAAGUGCUGAAAGCAUCUAAGCACGAAACUUGCCCCGAGAUGAGUUCUCCCUGAGACUUAGAGUCUCCUGAAGGAACGUUGAAGACGACGACGUUGAUAGGCCGGGUGUGUAAGCGCAGCGAUGCGUUGAGCUAACCGGUACUAAUGAACCGUGAGGCUUAACCUUACAACGCCGAAGCUGUU